rnacentral:rRNA from 1 species
UGGGGAAUAUUGCACAAUGGAGGGAACUCUGAUGCAGCGACGCCGCGUGAACGAAGAAGGCUUUCGAGUCGUAAAGUUCUUUUAUAUGGGAAGAUAAUGACGGUACCAUAAGAAAAAGCCCCGGCUAACUACGUGCCAGCAGCCGCGGUAAUACGUAGGGGGCUAGCGUUGUCCGGAAUCACUGGGCGUAAAGGGUUCGCAGGCGGAAAUGCAAGUCAGGUGUAAAAGGCAAUAGCUUAACUACUGUAAGCAUUUGAAACUGCAUAUCUUGAGAAGAGUAGAGGUAAGUGGAAUUUUUAGUGUAGCGGUGAAAUGCGUAGAUAUUAAAAAGAAUACCGGUGGCGAAGGCGACUUACUGGGCUCAUUCUGACGCUGAGGAACGAAAGCGUGGGUAGCAAACAGG